UCUGGGUGCAGUUUUAUUACAAUACGGUGAAUGAAGCUUGAUAAAUAACUAAAUUCUCUAAAAACUUUCUAUUUAUUUAUUUAUUUACGGACACACUUAUUUGUAUUUUUAUAUAUAUUUAUGUAGCUCAUAUUUGUGCAUAAAAUAUGAUCUGGGCAAAAUUAGGUUCGAUUUGAACUGACUUCUUAAACCGUAGAUUACUCGUAUCAUCAUCAAAGUGUAAAUAAUUAAAGUGUGCAAUAAUUAACUAAAAAUUAUCCUCGUUUCAACCCCUCUAUUUAGAACGUCACCAACUUUGGCCCAGUUUAAACCGCUCUUUAUACCCGAACUAUGGAAUUAUGUGCAUCUAUCAGGAUAAAAUUCGACUUGUUAAAGAUCGAAACCGCAUCUAAAUUUAUACCGGGAUAAGCAAAUCCUAUAUUUGUUGUAGGAGUGAACGAUUGCAAAACACGUUCGGAACAUCAUGAUCAAGCUUUCAAGAAUAGGCGAUCCAGCAUUUUUCAGAGGAACCUAACCAUCGACAAAGAAUACCGCAUGCCGUGCUAAGACAAUCCAAGGGAAAAUAGAGGAACGCUCCUGCAGUAGCUAAGAUAACUUCCAAAUUGUUACAAUGUAAUGAUGUGAAGUGUAACCCUCGGAUUUGGUUAAAAUUUCGAAAUUAUAUGUUCCAUGUCAAUACAAGCAACGUCAACUUUGUCUUCAAAUAUUUUGCCAAAUUCUGACCAUCGCACAAUCUGCCUGAAGAAGCGUUGCUUGUAUUGACAUGGAACAUAUAAUUUCGAAAUUUUAACCAAAUCGGAGGGUUACACUUCACACCACCGCAUUGUUCUUUGUAGCUUAAUUUAAAUUUAUCGAGUAUUUUUAGCGACUCGUACGUUUUCAUAUUAGAAAUUAUAAUUUCGGUUUAUUAGGUAUUUAUUCUUUUGGUAUGAUAUAUUGAUUGAGUUAGAGAAUAAGUUACCAAUUGUUUGACCCGUUUCAAAAUUAAUGGAUCAUUUGUACGUAGAGUUUGUUGAUGCAGAUUUUCAAUUUUUCCUUGUUCUUAUUUAUUUUGUUUAGGAAUGGCCCUUACUCUUAAAUAAGGUACGGUCCAAACAUUGCAUCCAUAAUUUCGUGUCCAUGUGAUAAAUGUUAAAGGGGGGGGGGGGGGUUAGAAAAUCGCGAUUUUUGCUUCGCGAAAUUUAUGGAUCUACCCUAACUACAUAUGUGCAACUGUAGGGCUGCCAAGGUAUGAGGUAUAAAUACUGCAUGAUCACCAGGGAAGUGUCAAGUUUUGCUUGAUUGAUCAGUAGAUUCCGAACCCUGGCAGAUUGAUUGAUUGAUUUGAUCAACAUUUUCGGGCAAAAUUGCUAACUGCGGGCAUACAUCACUGCAGGAAAUUUAAAAUUUAAGAAACAUUUAUUAUUAUACACAAUAUCUGUGAAGUUCCGUUUAUGUGGGGGGGGUUCACUGCAUUGAUGGUGGUGGUGAGGCAGAUGAGACGAUCGUCGUCGUUGUUGUACAUGGAAAUAAAUUGCGUCUUGGAGGCAAGGUGAGAUUUGGUGAGACAAAGUCAGGAGAGGUUUUAUUGCACGUAUCAAGAUACAGGCAGUCGACUCGCUGUCGAUGGUCACUCUUGUUCUUACUUAUAUACCAUACGUAUACCUAUUUAGUCUACUUAUAUGUCUAACCGGUUAUUGGGUGGUAAGAGGUGUAAGAAUUAUAAGAGUUGCCUUUUUGACAUAGUGAUCAUUGAUCACUAACACAACUACGAAAAGGAGAUAGUGAGAGUUGCAGAUCUAAAGAACCAGUUUUUCAAUAAGGAUUUGGCAAAGAUCACCUCUUCACACAAUAUAUUUAAUAAGCUCUAUAAAGAUUACAAACAGUUAGCGUCAUAGACAUUUGGCCGUUCUCCCGCUCUUUGGUAUUUUCGUCUUUAUUUAAUUAACGGAAUAUUAAGGUUAUUUUCGGAUUGGGCUUCCAAAGUCCUAGAGACACAUUUUCGGUAAAACCAAAAAUGAUGGACAAUUACUUUCUACUCAAAUGUAUCACCAGUUUGCUAAGAGGCGCAAAGUGGACUAUUUUUCUUUAUCAAUGGCACCGUAGUAAACCAAGCUUCGCGGUCAGAUGGUUGGCAAUUUGAAGCAUUCGCAUUUGUAAUUGUUGUAAAAGUUGCCCAUAGCAUAUGAACAACAUUUAAGUGAAAAAUAUUAAUAUUAUCGUUUCAUAUUCUUCAACUUUUUAAUAAACCUAUUAGCGAUAUAUAGAACUAUAAAGUUGUAGUUUAUGGUUUUUAACAAAUGAAAAACAAAGAGGACAAAGAAACUACGACGAUGAUGACUACGCAGAAAAUAAAUCCUCGUUUGGAUACCUCCUACAGCGUAUCAAAGCAUUGAAAUGAGCUAAUAAAUUUACUCCUUCAAUGACCCCACAAUGGCCAGGAAGUUGGGUCACUUGGAGGGGAUGAAGAGAUGAAGGGAUGAGGAAAUGAAUGUUCACGACUUGAGAGGGAGGUUGAGAUUUGGCAGAUCGACUUUUAUUCUCUUGUUACACACAAUUAUAAAGAUGUUGGGACAGGCCAGCAGCAACGGAAAGGAGAACUCGUUCUACAAAUGACGACCCCAGUACUGCGGCUGCUGUCCGUUUAUAUAGUAAACUGGUACCUAAUAAGUAUACGUACAUGCUAUAUCGUUAUUGGCCCGUCGGUCAGAUAGACAGGAAUGGAAAGUGGGUUUCCAUUCCUGUGUCUAAGAACUUGUAUCUUGCGAGAGAUGAUUCGCGAUGAUGAUCGCGACAUUAAUCCAUCAAUGCCCUGAGGCAAUCAUGAUUAAUGAGAGGAAGGAGGGAUGGGUUGCAUGCUAAAUGAGGCUGAUCUAUUAUGCCGAAAGCUGCGCUUUUCAGCAUACGCUCCCCAAAGACUCCCUGGCAAUGUCGGCUAUGCUCCCAUCUUUCUUAUUGAGUUACUGAAGACGAUCACUGCCCGUGUAUCAAGAAUGUGAACAAAAUUAAUUAAAGCACUGUGGAAUCGUGGAGGCUACUGCAGUCGAAUUAUAGGGUUGGCCUAGACUUCAUAGCGCCGUUCACCUAACAUAACAAACAACGAUAACCCCCAGCAGAGUUAACGACACAUGUCUUUCAUCUGAACACACCCGUUUCCCACCAUAUCAUAUUUUGCUUCAUAAUAUUUUCGUAGUAUGCAUAUGAUCCAUUAUUAGUAGGUUCUUCUUGUAAACAUUUUUUAUUUAUUUACGCUGCAGUUAGGUUUAAAGGUGCAUAUUUUCAGCUUAUUGUUAGGGUGUAGUGGAAAUUCCUGCAUUUGGCAAUGUUUACGUCUCAUUACAUUCACGUUAAAGAUCUUAUAAUGUUGGUUAUGUAUGUAUAGCAGCGACCUUUAGCUUUUGACACAAUUUUUGAAAACGAUAAGUAUCAUGUGUCCCAGAGUAAGUUGGAAGGAGCGACUUAAAGUAUACUGCGCAAUUCUUGGAGAUUGUUGUCCAGCUAUUUGAUGUUUUCGAGACGCAAUUUCAAGGGCAACCAGUGGGUAUAAAGCAUCUUUUGUUAAAAUGACAAAAUUCAAUAGAAAUCAGGGUCAAAAUGAAUGCCUCGAAAAUCGAGUUUUUCACAACUACAAAAUGGUCACUUGACGUGACCAGAAAAAGGCAUCGCAGUAUUUCAAAACCGAAAGGUGUCCCAAAAUGACAAUCAACCUUUAUAUUUCGAAGUAUUACGAUGACAAAAGGUGAAUUUCGAAAAACAUUCUAGGCCACCUCUUGCCACAGGCACUCACCAAAAUAUGAAAGUCAUCAAACUAUUCAUCACCAACAACUCCUUCCUUUAAAUUUGUGCCACCGUACGGAAGCUGAAAAUUUUAAAAAGUUUGUUACCUGAAACCUGAAACCUGAAAGUUCAUAAAUCGGGGAUUAUAGAAAAGAAUAAACAAAGUUGGCCAAAGUACGUUAAAGACCAAAAAAUCACCGUCCAAAAAUUUUGCAAAAAAAUGUGUUGAUAAAUGUCAUUGAAAAUUAUCAUCAAUAAACACGAGACCCACGUCGACCCCAAUCUAUGAAAGACUUCGGGAACCGCAUUUUUUCACGCAGGCAGCCUUGCCAAUAUAGGUUAUCAACGGAAGUUGUUCAUGAAAACUAAAUUCUUGUAAAAUUCCUGGUUAGCCAUCCCACGGUUAACAUUGGGAAAGAUACCCUUAAAACCGAUAACCCUCCAAAUGCCCCUAUAUGCGAGAAAUCGAAAAGUUUUCGGCCUUGCUCAUAAAAAGGUACUCUAACCUUCACUCUAAGGCGAAUAGGUAGGAAGAAUUCGAACGAUAAUGGCGAAAAAUCAGAAAGUACAUUUCGAAAACGAGUGAAAAUCACUAAUUCGAGGGUUGUUGCAGAAAUUAGGAUUGGAGGCGAAUGGAGUAAUAAAAAUCCUCCGGGUCAAAAACUGGUUGGUACGAUUCCCACCUACACCACCCAAAAGGUUUUACAAAAAUCGUUUAACCAGGUCGAAUUCUACAGGUCAUAGGGCAUCUUCCAACUUAAUAUGGGACACACCAUAUUUAUGUACAUGUGAUAAGGUGGAGCAUAGGGUGCUUGGUUUUCUUUUUCACUGGGGUUCGGACUAUGGGGGUCCACUUAUAUGUGUGGAUUCUUGUGCAUGCAGUACAAUUUUUUGAAUAUUUGCACAUAAACGUAGGUUGGACCCCGGUACUAUCUUGCUAACGUUCCUCAAGGCACAUGAACCCAUACGUGCAAAAUAUUGAUAUUACUAUUAACUAUUAAUUUAACCAUUACUUAUUAAUGUAAUCCAUUAACAGCAUUUAAAGCUAUAAAUUUGUAUUUUAUGGGUUUGAACUAUUGCCAACCAAUCGAUAUUGAAAUACAGUUCGUGCAUCUAAGCCUUCACUGGGAUAAAACUACCUCACAACAUAUGAAAUCACAACUUACCCGACAAAGUCAAGUCAAUGACCUCGAUUUCUAACGCAAAGCCACCCCAUGUUACUACCUUGGAGCAAGUAAGGCGAGCUAGAACAAUCCGACACUCCGGUGGGUUGAACCCAAACAUACGUCGUGAAAUGAGCUAUUUUAUAAGUCUCAAUUUAAUAACCCAACCCUUGCGGCUUACACUGAAAUGAGCUGUUUUUAAUAGCUUCUUUCUAUGACCCCACAAAAUGGCUCACUCACAAAUGCACUGUGUGAAAUCGUGAUAAAACAAAGGACGACUAUUUGGAGGCGAGUUGUGAAGUUAAGAAGGACAGAUCUUUAUUCGCAACUUUCUUCAGAUUUGGGCGGGCCAGCAGCAGCAGCAAAACAGGAAUUAUGUCCUAUAAUGACAACCCCCGUACUGCGGCUGCUUUCUCCUUAUAUACUACAACAUGUACCUAAUACACGUAUAUAAUAGUAAUAGAAAGGGGGAUGACUUGAAGAAAACUUGCAACUUGAGAGAAAUGAUCCGCAAUGAUGAUCGCAUCAUUAAUCACUCAAUACCCUGAGGCAAUCACGAUUAAUAAGGAGAAUGGAUUAAAUACCUAAUGAGGCUGGCCUAUUAUGGCAAAGCUGCGCCAUUCAGUUCACAAGCUGCUUUCUACGAUGAGGUAAUGGUCGAAGACUCCUACGCGAUUCGUCGGAGGACACCUCCAUUGCGGAAGCAGGAGACUGGUAGUCUGUCACCCUCGACCUCCGAUGAGGUUCUCAGAACCCCUUCCUACGCUAAAUCUUCCGUGAGCGCGUCCCUACGUUCUCGGGCACGAUCCUAGCAGUCACGCUAUUUAGGAGGUCCGUAAUGUAGGGUACUUCACACAUCCAAGGAUUGAUACCCGACUACCAACACCCGCAACCAACCAUAUCAAGCCACCUCUCCUUCCUGUGUUCACUAUGUAUGUAAUGUAUAGAUAUUACAAAAAUGUCCAUCCUUUUUCAAGACUUUAAAAUUCUCAAAUCUGGAGAGAAAAUGUUUUAAGUUUCCUGCGUGUGACUUGACUGACCCUAGUAGUGCAGAACAUAAUGAGGAUCACUUACGGGUUUUUGUAGUUCCGUUUUUAAGUACAACGUUAGUGCUGUUAGUGGUCUGAGCGCUAACUCUAGCAACUCAGCCAUUGAAGUAGGUUUAGCACCAUCAAUUAUAAUGGACGCGAUGUCACACACAUCAAUGUACAUUUGUUUGCACAGUUGUAUCCAUUUUGACGUUUCCAAACUAACAAAGGACACUCACGACCUGUCGUUUGAGUCCAGGGUACCCACUAUGUUUUUCAGAAUCUACUAGGACCCCAGAUGAA